rnacentral:lncRNA from 1 species
GCCUGUGCAGUAUCAUAUGCAAUUAAACGAUGACCCUUGUCAUGUGGAACAGUUUAGUAAAGGUGUAAUCCAAUUCUAUCCCUCUAAUGGUAGUUCUGACAGCAAUUUGGCUCACUACUUCCACGUGGAUUGUUUUUGAAACUAGAUGCUCAGAUAAAAUAUACUCUAUUAUUAAUUAUUUUAAAAUAAAUAUUUAAAAUAAUAGUUAAAUAUCAAUUAAUGCAGAAAAUAAAGAAAUGAGACUUUAUGUAGUACUCAAAAGAUACCAUAGAGCACUGUGUAUAUAUUGAGACAUUCAUUAAAGGAUGAAUGAUUAUGUGGUAUUUAUCUAAAUUAUUC